rnacentral:tRNA from 1 species
AAUCUCAUGGCUCAAUUGGAUAGAGCGUUGGUCUACGAAACCAAAGGUUGAAGGUUCGAAUCCUUCUGAGAUUACAA